GACACCGAUAAUCUUGCCCUUACAACCAUAGUCUUCGAUAUAUAAAAUAUAGCCAUUAAUAAACAAAUUGAACCUCUUCUCUUCUCUCCUCUCGUAAAGAUCUUUCCUCUCCUCGUCCUCCUCCUCAUCUGAUCUCUUAAAGUAAGCUUUUUUAAAUAGACGAUGGCUACCGAGUCCGGAGAAAUCACCAUCGUAUGCAACCACUGUGACAGAGACAUUCCAGCACCAAACAUCGAUCUGCAUCGUGUACAUUGCGCCCGUCUAGAAAAAUGCAAGAUUUGUGGUGAUAUGGUUCCCAAAAAACAUGCUGAUGAACACUUCUUGACCGCACAUGCUCCGUACCAUGUUCGAUGUGCAAAGAGACCUUAGAACGUGACACUUGACCCAAGAGGAUGUUAUGAACUGUGAUGUAUAUUGAUGAGUAUCCUCCCACUCUUAAUCUCCACAAUCCGGAGAGUUAAAGCCAAUUACAAACUAUCAAUUAUGAAUCUUUAAGCUAAUGGAAUCCUUUUAUAGUAGUAUAAGGUCCAUGUACAAUUUUAUCUGUAACAAACUCCUCUUGACUUUAUAAACUUGCUUCCUCCUCCAAUGCUCUCUUCUUUCUCCUAGUGUAUAUUCUCCAUGGCAGAUGAUCACAGGAUUGUAACAUGUGAGUUCUGUGAGUUUCCAUUGCCUGCGGUUGAUGUCGCUGUGCAUCAGGAAGUAUGUGGCAACCGUGUUUCUAACACAAGAGCAGGAGGAGGAGGUGGAAACGGGAGGAGGCGAAGAGAUGGGAACGGUGUUUCUAACAGAAGGCUUUUCUUCAAUGUGGCGGUAACGGGAAUAGCCGUCUUAAUGGGGUCGCUGUUCUUCCAGAGGAAGCCUUUGAGAGGGGAGAGAUAAGUAGAGACAUAGCUCUGAGUGUAGUAGUUCUGUAAAUUUGCGCAAAAAUCCUUCAGACAGAUUCUGAGACAUAGCCUUGAGGGUUUUAUACAUUGUAAUGCUUACUGAGACAGAUUUGUAACAAGUGGACAAACAAAAGACAGACAGCAUUGCUCUA